rnacentral:tRNA from 1 species
GGGGGCGUGGCGGAAUUGGCAGACGCAGCGGACUUAAAAUCCGCCGGCCUAGGUCUUGUGGGUUCGAACCCCACCGCCCCUA